rnacentral:lncRNA from 1 species
UUAUAGCCUGGGAGGCAACCGAUCGGUAUAUAUAUAUAUAUUUAUUUGUUGUUAGCUAGCCAUUAUUUAGCGGUCCUCAUCGUAUGAGAGUUGAGUGCUUAGCGUGGGACGCUAUUAUAACUUUAUAAGCGGUCCUCAUCAUAUGUGAGUAGAUCGCUUAGCGUGGGAUGCUCUUAUAGCCUGGGAGGCUCAUCGUUAUGGUGAAAUCUCUUCCCCAAUUUUUAUCGAUUUAUUAGGAACCAAUGGGAUUGGUUCAUUAUUUUUGGUCUUUAAUUAUUUUCGGAAAGAUUUCCAAGAAUGGCAUGCAUAAAUAUUUUCUCAAUAGAAAAUAUGGGAAAAACAUUAAAUUGAUUUCAAUGCUCUAUUAUUAAGUCCGUAUUUUUAUUAUUUAUUUUGUCCACUCACUCUAAUGUUUUAAAUGCUUUCCCCUGGGCCUUUCGUUUUAAAUGCCCAGUCUGCAGAGUUCUGUUCGGCGAGGGUAGGAGGCGAGUCAUAUUUCCCACCUCAUCCAGUUUUCUCUCAUAGGUUACUAAUUAUCCUACCUGUGUAUUUUCUUCUUUCCUAGUAGAUGCUCUGGAUAAACAUGGGUUGUUUUAAGUGAUAUUAAUAUUGUUUUUAUUGUGGUUGUGUGCUAAGAGCUUAUGACUCCACUUAGGAGUGAUGAAAAAGACAUAUUUGGUAUGUUUGUAUGAGAGAUUAAAUUCAUGAAAUUAUUUUGAUUUAUUAUGUGAGUUGAGGUGGUGGAUGUUUAUUGGGGGAGCGGAUGGCUCCAAACACUACUAGAGAUGUACCCUUUAAUGACACUUAUUUUAUGACGUUUUGGGAUAAACGUCAUUGUAGGGGGCUUCCAUGACGUUUAGGGCAGCAAACGUCAUGGAUGUAAAACACGGAGCAAUUAUAUGACGUUUUAUAAACGUCAUGGUAAAACACUUACCAUGACGUUUAUUUUUCGUCAUCAAUAGGUUUCAAUGACGGUUUCGGUCUACAUGCAUAUCGUUUGGGCCAUGACAGUUUAUUACUAUCAUCAAAAGUUUUGGGAAAAAUUUUGACACUGUGCCCAAAAUUUGGCUUCGCGCCUGACCCGAAAUUUGGCCCUAAAAUUUUGAGUUUCAGUUUGAGUUCGUUCCCUUUAGUUUUAACUUACUUGCCUAAAAUUUCUCUCACCCAAACUCCAUCUCAAACUUCACUUUCCAAUUUCUCUCUUGCAAAUCAGUCACCCAAACUCAAUCUCACACUCGAUCCGAAUCUCAUCCCAAACUCGAUCUCUCACCCAAAUCAGUCACCCCUCUCCCAAAUCUCAUCCCCAAAUCUAACACCCCUCUCCCAAAAUCUUAUCCCCAAAUCUCAUCCAAAUCUGUCCCACUGCUCUUCGCCCUAAUCCCAAUUGUUUGAGAGUAGAAAUAGCUUCUGGACAAGAAGAGAAACCUAGAGAACAAAAGAUAGAGAGAGGAACAACCUUUUCUAAUUUCGUUUUUGGCAAAGGUAGAUUCCAUACUUCCUAUAGCUUUAUUUCAAUUUGUUCUUGUUUUUAGUUUUUGAUUAUGAUUCUUUUGUUUAUUUAUGGUUGGUGAUUUCGAAUUCUCAGACUUUUAGAGAUAGGAAUCCAGUUUGAAUCAGUUGUGUUAGGUUCCAAUUAGAAUCGUUGUAGUUGUAGCUCAAGAACCAUGUUCUUGAGUUUGGGUGUCCAAAGUAGAUUUUGUGUAUCCUUUUGAUUUAACUAUUUGUUAUGUUUAAAAUGAUUUCGUGUCCUAGCAAUCUUUUCCUUCCAUUCUAAAGUUUUAGAACUUGUUUUGUACUUCAAAAGAUCGAAUUAAAGCUUCCAAAAACCAAGUUUUAUUGUUGCUGGAAAUUUCCAGAAUUCUGCAGAAAAAGCUGAUUUUCUUGCCUACUUUGAGGCAUGAUAUCUUUCAGCUCAUGCCUAUGUUUUGGAAUCCGAAAGUACCUUUGUAAAGCUCAUAUAUCUAACUAUGUGUGUAUUAAAUUUCACAGGAUUUGGUUAAUAUUUGGUUUGUCAAAUUGCUUGGCAAAAACAGUAGCAGAUUCAGCCAAAAGCUGAAUUUUCUGGGUUUUCAGAUUUUUGCUUCAACUUUGAGAGAGCCUAACUUUCUGUUCAGGGCUUUGUUUUCAAAACUCAAGCUAUGUAAUUAAAGCUUGUAAUCUCAUAUUUACAAUAGGCUUUGGUUCAUAAACAUUUGUUGGAUUUGAGUGAGUGGAAAAUGAAGCCAAAACCACCAUCUUACACACUGUUUUGACACAAGGCUGAGAAAUGAAACCUUGUUCUAACUCAGUCAUUUCUUUAACAGCUGAUUCCUAUAUUUUGCAGUAGCUCAUUAAACAACUUUUGAGUCUUAUUUUGUAUCUGUUUUAUAGUUUAGAGUUUCUUAUUUAUGUAUAUUACUUGCAACAUAGUACUAAAUCUAGUUUUUCAUUCUUUGUAUGUACUUUACCUUUUGGGUAAGGUUCUGGAGACGAUCUUGGCAAUCCACAAGUGUGAGAGGUGGCGUUGGAUCUUGAGUUUUGCUGUGCAAUCGAGGGUUUGAUGGGGUGUUUGUGUUAUUGUUAUUUAUGCUAUUACAUGGUUUGUUUGAUAUUGAAUUGUUGAUGACAUUGGAUGAUUUGUGAAAUUGGAUUAUUUGGUAUUCGAUUGUUUGACAUUGAAUUGUGUGGCAAUAUUCGAAUUAAAUGUGGAUGAUAUUGAGAUCUUGAAUUGAUUAUGAUAUGUUUAUAUUUGAAAGCAUGUGUUCUUAAGUGGAAUCUAUAUUAUUACAUGACGUUAUUGUAUUAAAACUUAUAGACCUAUCAAAUAAAACUUAUAAAUAAAACUAUAAUACCUAUCAAAUAAAACUAUAAUACAAGCUUAAGCUUAAGCUUCACUGAUUGAGUGUUUAUUUGUUUGGUGUUUUAUUUAAUUGGCAGCUCUAAAUGCUUGUUAUUAGGAUGUUAAUAGAGUUAUUGUUGCUGUUUUAAUUUGAUUUGUGUUUUGCGCAUCCGUAUAACAUGUAGCUGUUUGGAUUUGUAAAUUUUGGUAGGUGUAAUGCAAUUAUAAUUUAGCAUGAAUAAGAGCUGGAUAUCUUGGGAUCCAAAUAGUUCCCAGUACCAAGAAAAGGUUAAAGAUUUUAUU